UACGUAGGUUCCGAGCGUUGUCCGGAUUUAUUGGGCGUAAAGCGUGCGCAGGUGGUUUAUUAAGUCUGGUGUAAAAGGCAGUGGCUCAACCAUUGUAUGCAUUGGAAACUGGUAGACUUGAGUGCAGGAGAGGAGAGUGGAAUUCCAUGUGUAGCGGUGAAAUGCGUAGACAUAUGGAGGAACACCGGUGGCGAAAGCGGCUCUCUGGCCUGUAACUGACACUGAGGCUCGAAAGCGUGGGGAGCAAACAGG
rnacentral:rRNA from 1 species